AGAGGUAUAGUUAAAUGGUAUAAUAAUGGUCUCCAAAACCAUUGGCCUAGGUUCGAUUCCUAGUACCUCUA